rnacentral:other from 3 species
GUACCCCUGGAGUGUGCGUGAUAGAUAUGCCAUCGCUGACCUCACAAGCUUGAAAUAGGGCAUCGGUACGGUGGACCGGUGUGCACGCCCGGCAUGACCGGGUAGCCUGAAGGCCCGCCCGAGAAGCCCCCCUGGUCAACACCAGGUCCUGCUUUGGUAUGUCACACGGCUCUCCGGGGCCACU